UACGAAGGGUGCAAGCGUUACUCGGAAUUACUGGGCGUAAAGCGUGCGUAGGUGGUUCGUUAAGUCUGAUGUGAAAGCCCUGGGCUCAACCUGGGAAUGGCAUUGGAAACUGGCGACCUAGAGUGCGGUAGAGGGUAGUGGAAUUCCCGGUGUAGCAGUGAAAUGCGUAGAGAUCGGGAGGAACAUCCGUGGCGAAGGCGACUACCUGGACAACUCCUGACACUGAGGCACGAAAGCUAGGGGAGCAAACAGG
rnacentral:rRNA from 1 species